rnacentral:tRNA from 1 species
CCUCUUUUAGCUCAGUCGGUUAGAGCAUAUGGCUUAUAUCCAUAGUGUCCGGGGUUCGAGUCCCUGAGGGAGGA